GAUGAACGCUGGCGGUAUGCUUAACACAUGCAAGUCGAACGGACUCUUCGGAGUUAGUGGCGGACGGGUGAGUAACGCGUGAGAAUCUGGCUUUGGGUUCGGGACAACCACUGGAAACGGUGGCUAAUACCGGAUGUGCCGAGAGGUAAAAGAGAAAUUGCCUGAAGAUGAGCUCGCGUCUGAUUAGCUAGUUGGUGAGGUAAAGGCUCACCAAGGCAGCGAUCAGUAGCUGGUCUGAGAGGAUGACCAGCCACACUGGGACUGAGACACGGCCCAGACUCCUACGGGAGGCAGCAGUGGGGAAUUUUCCGAAAUGGGCGAAAGCCUGACGGAGCAAUACCGCGUUAGGGAAGAAGGCUCUUGGGUUGUAAACCUCUUUUCUUAGGGAAGAACAAAAUGACGAUACCUAAGGAAUCAGCAUCGGCUAACUCCGUG
rnacentral:rRNA from 1 species